rnacentral:rRNA from 1 species
UACGUAGGGUGCAAGCGUUGUCCGGAAUUAUUGGGCGUAAGGAGCUCGUAGGCGGUCUGUCACGUCGGCUGUGAAAACCCGAGGCUCAACCUCGGGCCUGCAGUCGAUACGGGCAAACUAGAGUACUGCAGGGGAGACUGGAAUUCCUGGUGUAGCGGUGAAAUGCGCAGAUAUCAGGAGGAACACCGGUGGCGAAGGCGGGUCUCUGGGCAGUAACUGACGCUGAGGAGCGAAAGCGUGGGGAGCGAACAGG